UCCUCCUAUAUAUUAAAAGAGAAGUACAUUGGACACGUGGCGCUCACACAGCUCUUCUGACGAAAAUUCUCGCGAUUCUAUUGGUCGGAUUUUUCUAUUUUUUCUUUUUGAUUUAUUUUUCUACUCGAGCUUUAAAUUUGGAAAGUCACAUUAAUUGUUAAUCGCACUAAUCAUUUCUUGCGCAAGAAUCGUAAUAAAUGUCGACCAUUAAUCAUAGCUUGCAGAACAAUUUUAAUAAAUGUCGACUAAUCAUUAAAUGUCUUAAUGGGAAAUAUGUUUUAUAUCUAAUUAGGAAACUAAUUAUUAUCAACAUACCUUAUUUAUAUUGAUUACUUGCGCAAGUCUCGCAUCAUAUAAUAUGCAUAUUCGUUUUUAAUUUUACAAAUUUAUUAUGUUUCCUUUAAUCAAACGUCAUUUAAUUUACAUACCUUAUUAUAACCAAUUACUUGCGCAAGUCUCGCAAGUAAUAUUAUUUGCGUCGUUAAUAUUCUUCACCAUCAAAGGACUAUAUAUAGAGUACAAAGUGGCGAUGAAGCAACAUAACCAUUCUUCUAUUUUUAUAUAUACAUAUUUUAUCGGAGCUGACUUUUCUUUUGGUUUAUAUGCAGAUACCCUAUUCUAACGAUUUCACCACGAUGCAGCGAAGAAUAUGACACAAAAGCUGAUGUUUUCUCCUUUGCUUUGAUCGUUCAAGAGAUGAUAGAAGGACGAAUGCCAUUUGCUGAAAAGGAAGACAGUGAAGCUUCAGAAGCUUAUGCCAGCAAAGAGCGGCCACUGUUCAAAGCUCCAUCAAAUUGCUUUACCCUCAUGGACUUAAAACGUUGAUAGAAGAAUGCUGGCAAAAUAAACCAGCCAAGCGACCUACUUUCAGAGAGAUCAUUAAACGGCUCGAGUCUAUUCUUCAUCAUAUGGGUCACAAACGACAAUGGGGGAUGAGGCCGUUGACUUGCUUUCAGAAUUUCGAGCACAAGAAGAAACAUAACUGGGAUAUGAGCAGCCAUGACGGCUCAUCAUCCGGUUCAAAUUUGUGAUUCUUUAACCGGUUCAGAAAUGAUUUUUUUUUUCUAUUCCCUCCGGUUUAGUUUGGUCUUCCCCCUAAAGAACCGAAUCUUAUUUUGUCAUUUUGUUCUUCACUGAUGAAAGUCCGUGUGGUCAAAAUCUGGCAUUUUAUCUAUUUAUAAAAUUUGUUGUAAGAUAUAUGAUUUUAACCUCAAGAUAUAUUUGCUGUUGUAAUCUAAAAUUUCUGCAAAAUGUAUGAUUCCACCUCAUUAUUAU